rnacentral:lncRNA from 1 species
UUCACAUUAGACAUCAGGAGGCGCUACUUCACUGUCAGGGCAGCUAGGAUCUAGAACCAACUUCCAAGCGAAGUGGUGCUGGCUCCUACUCUGGGGGUCGUUAAGACGAAGCUAGACGAUCACCUUGCUGGGGUCAUUUGACCCCAGUGCUCUUUCCUGCCAUGGCAGGGGUUCGGACUUGAUGAUCUGCUCAGGUCCCUUCCAACCCUACUAACUGUGAAACUAUGAGUCAUCUUCUGUGAAGGUGCAUUGCAUACUAUGAAAAUUUCAGCUCAUCUCAAAAUUCCCAUUCCCCAACCACUUUUUGUGUUACAUUACCCACUACAGGAGGAGCAGCCCUUACCUUCUUUCUAUGCAGAGUCAAGUAUAUUUGAAAAACCCUGAAUUCUGCCAAUUUUUGGUUUCCACUGUUAUUCCAUGGAAUCAAUCUUCUGUUGGAAAAUUAAGACAGAUGGCACAAGAGUCUACAAGCCUAUGAGGUUCCUUCUUUCAGAAUGAACUCAUUUCAACUGUGGACUGAAAAUAAAAAAAUGAAAAAGAGAAGUGAUCAAAGGCUGAUUCAUCUCCCACCUUGGCAAUGAAGAUUCCUAAAAUGGCAGUGGUAAUUGAGGUCCCACAAAUGCUUCUGCCAACCAACACACAUGAACGUACAUACAGGUGGAAACACACCCAUACAUUAGAAAUCUUUUUGCAGAUGGUUGAAG